GUCAUAAUUGCGGCCUAAAAGGUCAGAAAGCAUUUCAAUGCACUGAAGGAAGUUGUUAUAAUUGUGGCCUUAAAGGCGCCACAAAGUGAGAGAGUGUCGCAAAUCUUGUAAUCGAGAUGGAAACAGUAAGUCAUGAACAUUCCAGUGAAGAUCUUCACAGAUAGCAUCCAUUUACUCUAUG